GGGACGUCCUCAAAUUUUAGAACAUAUAUGUGACAAGACCAAUCUCGCCACAUUGCAUUGGAGAAGCCUUGUUGCUCGCCUGUUGCCUUUGGACUAUGGCCCCAUGUUAAAAGCCUUCUUGCUUCUGCAUUCGGUCGAUUAACCGGAUGCCUGUUCUUUCAGUAGUUAAACCGUAUGGACAGCAUUACCCCAGAUAGCCAUUCCGUGGAGUCUAUUCGUAUGGAGAACAGACUUUGUAAACACUUUAACUCCACGGCAAUUGGACUGUGUGCAUAGGAUCUGAGCGCUAUUCG